UACGGGGGGGGCAAGCGUUGUUCGGAAUUACUGGGCGUAAAGGGCUCGUAGGUGGCCAACUAAGUCAGACGUGAAAUCCCUCGGCUUAACCGGGGUACUGCGUCUGAUACUGGAUGGCUUGAGUUCGGGAGAGGGAUGCGGAAUUCCAGGUGUAGCGGUGAAAUGCGUAGAUAUCUGGAGGAACACCGGUGGCGAAGGCGGCAUCCUGGACCGAUACUGACACUGAGGAGCGAAAGCCAGGGGAGCAAACAGG
rnacentral:rRNA from 1 species